CCCUUAGAUGUCCUGGGCUGCACGCGCGCUACACUGAUGUGUUCAAUAAGCACCUAACCUACUCCGAAGGGACUGGGUAACCUUUGCAAAGCACAUCGUGAUGGGGAUAGAUUAUUGCAAUUAUUAGUCUUGAACGAGGAAUUCCUAGUAAGCGCAAGUCAUCAGCUUGUGUUGAUUACGUCCCUGCCCUUUGUACACACCGCCCGUCGCUCCUACCGAUUGAGUGGUCCGGUGAGGCUUUGGGAUCUGAGCGGAAAGAGCGUUUCGCUGUUUCUGCUCGGAAAACUCAGUCGAACCUUAUCAUUUAGAGGAAGGAGAAGUCGUAACA
rnacentral:rRNA from 1 species